GACGAACGCUGGCGGCGUGCUUAACACAUGCAAGUCGAACGCUGAAGCUUGGUGCUUGCACUGGGUGGAUGAGUGGCGAACGGGUGAGUAAUACGUGAGUAACCUGCCCUUGACUCUGGGAUAAGCCUGGGAAACUGGGUCUAAUACUGGAUAUGACAUGCCACUGCAUGGUGGUGUGUGGAAAGGGUUUUACUGGUUUUGGAUGGGCUCACGGCCUAUCAGCUUGUUGGUGGGGUAAUGGCCUACCAAGGCGACGACGGGUAGCCGGCCUGAGAGGGUGACCGGCCACACUGGGACUGAGACACGGCCCAGACUCCUACGGGAGGCAGCAGUGGGGAAUAUUGCACAAUGGGCGGAAGCCUUAUGCAGCGACGCCGCGUGAUGGAUGACGGCCUUCGGGUUGUAAACCUCUUUCAGCACGGAAGAAGCGAGAGUGACGGUACGUGCAGAAGAAGCGCCGGCUAACUACGUG
rnacentral:rRNA from 1 species